GACGAACGCUGGCGGCAUGCCUAACACAUGCAAGUCGAACGAUUGCCUUCGGGUGUUAUUGGCGCCCGGGUUCGUAACCCGUUGGAAUCUGCCCUUGUAUUCGGCCUAUCACUUGGAGACGGCUUCUAAUACCUGUUGCUAUCACCAGAUCAAAGCUUUAUCGCCUUAGGAUGAGCGCGCGUUUGAUUACGUAUUUGGUUGGGUACACGCCUACCCAGCCGAGGGUCCAUGGCUGGUCUGACCGGAUGAUAAGCUACACUGGGACUGAGACACGGCCCAGACUCGUAGGAGAGGGAGGAGUGGGGAAUAUUGGACAAGGGGGGCAAGCGUGAUCAAGCAAUGCGGGGGGAGAGAGGAAGGGGGUAGGGUUGUAAAGCUGUUUGAGACGAGAAGAGAAUGACUGUAACGGGAGAAGAAGCACCGGCUAACUACGUG
rnacentral:rRNA from 1 species